UACGUAGGGUGCAAACGUUGCUCGGAAUUACUGGGCGUAAAGCGCGUGUAGGCGGGCUAGUAAGUCGGACGUGAAAUCCCUGGGCUCAACCCAGGAACUGCAUCCGAAACUAUUAGCCUUGAGUGGUGGAGAGGGAAGCAGAAUUCCUGGUGUAGAGGUGAAAUUCGUAGAUAUCAGGAGGAACACCGGUGGCGAAGGCGGGCUACUGGGCUGAUACUGACGCUGAGGCGCGAAAGCUAGGGGAGCAAACAGG
rnacentral:rRNA from 1 species